AGGGUUGAUAGGUUAAGAGCUGAUUAACUGGACGUUACCCACAGAAGAAGCACCGGCUAACUCCGUGCCAGCAGCCGCGGUAAUACGGAGGGUGCGAGCGUUAAUCGGAAUUACUGGGCGUAAAGGGUGCGUAGGUGGUUGAUUAAGUUAUCUGUGAAAUUCCUGGGCUUAACCUGGGACGGUCAGAUAAUACUGGUUGACUCGAGUAUGGGAGAGGGUAGUGGAAUUUCCGGUGUAGCGGUGAAAUGCGUAGAGAUCGGAAGGAACACCAGUGGCGAAGGCGGCUACCUGGCCUAAUACUGACACUGAGGCACGAAAGCGUGGGGAGCAAACAGGAUUAGAUACCCUGGUAGUCCACGCUGUAAACGAUGUCAACUAGCUGUUGG
rnacentral:rRNA from 1 species